CGGAUAUAACGCUUUAUCCUAUCAGUUUUUGUGGAAGAAGCACAUGUGGUCAAUGUAAAAAUUCUGUGAUCAACAUUCAAAGACCUUUGGAGGACGCUUGAGGUAGUCGGUGUAAAGCUUAAGUCUACCGACUACAAAGAAAAGCUAGCACAUGAGAGCCGGAACGUCACUUCGGCCGUCCGGCGAGGGAGUAAGACGGUCGGUGUAUUAGUCGGCAUCCCACAGGAAGGGAACACAAAUAGCCCGCUCCACCAGAUAUAAGAUUUUCGACUCACACGCACUGGCAAUAUGAAGUCAACUUGUCAGCCCUAUGAAAAUUAAAAGGUGAGAGCUAAUGACAUUGAUAGGACUUAUAUUUGAUAUAUGUAAAUAUAAAUAUAUAAAAGAGGUUUAUGAAUGUGGUCAAGAAUUGAUGAAGCGAUGAUCCACAACUUGUUGAAUUGAAAUGAAGAUGAUUGCAGGUUGAAUAUGUGAUUCAAGUUGGUGUAUUGCGGAAGCGUUUGGAGACUACGGAAGUUGUAGAUCAAAAGUAAUCAAACAGUGUCUGUAAUUGUAUUACAAAGUGUGUAAUUGUGUAAAGAUCAAAUGAUCUAAGUCUGUUUAUAUAGGAGAACACCCAACGGCUAUGUUGGUUGAGUGUAUUUAAUUAUGGUAAUUAAUGGAUAUGGGGAUAUGAAAUGUGAAAUUAAUAUAUAAUGAAAUAUUUGAUAUGAGAAUAUGAAUAAUGGAAUGUGAAGAGUUAUGAUGAAAUAAGAGGGG
rnacentral:lncRNA from 1 species